AUUGAACGCUGGCGGCAUGCCUUACACAUGCAAGUCGAACGGCAGCACGGGAGCUUGCUCCUGGUGGCGAGUGGCGAACGGGUGAGUAAUACAUCGGAACGUACCCUGAAGUGGGGGAUAACGUAGCGAAAGUUACGCUAAUACCGCAUAUUCUGUGAGCAGGAAAGAGGGGGAUCGCAAGACCUCUUGCUUUAGGAGCGGCCGAUGUCGGAUUAGCUAGUUGGUGAGGUAAAGGCUCACCAAGGCGACGAUCCGUAGCGGGUCUGAGAGGAUGAUCCGCCACACUGGGACUGAGACACGGCCCAGACUCCUACGGGAGGCAGCAGUGGGGAAUUUUGGACAAUGGGCGCAAGCCUGAUCCAGCCAUGCCGCGUGAGUGAAGAAGGCCUUGGGUUGUAAAGCUCUUCGGUGGGAGAAAUGCUUCGGUUAAUACCUGGAGUAGAUGACGGUACCCGCAUAAGAAGCACCGGCUAACUACGUGCCAGCAGCCGCGGUAA
rnacentral:rRNA from 1 species